rnacentral:rRNA from 1 species
GUCUCAGUUCAGAUUGUAGGCUGAAACUCGCCUAUAUGAAGUCGGAAUUGCUAGUAAUCGCAGAUCAGCAUGCUGCGGUGAAUACGUUCCCGGGCCUUGUACACACCGCCCGUCACACCAUGAGAGUCGAUAACACCCGAAGCCUGUAGUCUAACCAUAAGGAGGACGCAGUCGAAGGUGGGAUUGAUAAUUAGGGUGAAGUCGUAACAAGGUAAC